rnacentral:rRNA from 1 species
UACGUAGGCAGCAAGCGUUGUUCGGAAUUACUGGGCGUAAAGAGUGUGUAGGCGGUGCUCCAAGUCUGGGGUGAAAUCUCCCGGCUUAACUGGGAGGGGGCAUUAGAAACUGGAAUGCUAGAGGAUGGGAGAGGUAAGCGGAAUUCCUGGUGUAGCGGUGAAAUGCGUAGAUAUCAGGAGGAACACCUGUGGUGUAGACAGCUUACUGGACCAUUUCUGACGCUGAGACACGAAAGCGUGGGUAGCAAACAGG